GCGGUAAUACGGAGGGUGCAAGCGUUAAUCGGAAUUACUGGGCGUAAAGCGCACGCAGGCGGUUUGUUAAGUCAGAUGUGAAAUCCCCGGGCUCAACCUGGGAACUGCAUCUGAUACUGGCAAGCUUGAGUCUCGUAGAGGGGGGUAGAAUUCCAGGUGUAGCGGUGAAAUGCGUAGAGAUCUGGAGGAAUACCGGUGGCGAAGGCGGCCCCCUGGACGAAGACUGACGCUCAGGUGCGAAAGCGUGGGGAGCAAACAGGAUUAGAUACCCUGGUAGUCCACGCCGUAAACGAUGUCGACUUGGAGGUUGUGCCCUUGAGGCGUGGCUUCCGGAGCUAACGCGUUAAGUCGACCGCCUGGGGAGUACGGCCGCAAGGUUAAAACUCAAAUGAAUUGACGGGGGCCCGCACAAGCGGUGGAGCAUGUGGUUUAAUUCGAUGCAACGCGAAGAACC
rnacentral:rRNA from 1 species